rnacentral:rRNA from 1 species
CAGUCGCCACGGUAAUACGAAGGGGGCUAGCGUUGCUCGGAAUUACUGGGCGUAAAGGCGCGUAGGCGGACAGUUCAGUCGGGGGUGAAAGCCCGGGGCUCAACCUCGGAAUUGCCUUCGAUACUGGCUGUCUUGAGUAUGAGAGAGGUGUGUGGAACUCCGAGUGUAGAGGUGAAAUUCGUAGAUAUUCGGAAGAACACCAGUGGCGAAGGCGACACACUGGCUCAUUACUGACGCUGAGGCGCGAAAGCGUGGGGAGCAAACAGGAUUAGAUACCCCCGUAGUCCCUGUCUCUUAUACA